rnacentral:rRNA from 1 species
CGGAGAAAUUCCAAUCGAACCUGGAGAUAGCUGGUUCUCUCCGAAAUAGCUUUAGGGCUAGCCUCAAGUGAUGAUUAUUGGAGGUAGAGCACUGUUUGGACGAGGGGCCCCUCUCGGGUUACCGAAUUCAGACAAACUCCGAAUGCCAAUUAAUUUAACUUGGGAGUCAGAACAUGGGUGAUAAGGUCCGUGUUCGAAAGGGAAACAGCCCAGACCACCAGCUAAGGUCCCAAAAUAUAUGUUAAGUGGAAAAGGAUGUGGCGUUGCCCAGACAACUAGGAUGUUGGCUUAGAAGCAGCCAUCAUUUAAAGAGUGCGUAAUAGCUCACUAGUCGAGUGACACUGCGCCGAAAAUGUACCGGGGCUAAACAUAUUACCGAAGCUGUGGAUUGUCCUUUGGACAAUGGUAGGAGAGCGUUCUAAGGGCGUUGAAGCAUGAUCGUAAGGACAUGUGGAGCGCUUAGAAGUGAGAAUGCCGGUGUGAGUAGCGAAAGACGGGUGAGAAUCCCGUCCACCGAUUGACUAAGGUUUCCAGAGGAAGGCUCGUCCGCUCUGGGUUAGUCGGGUCCUAA